rnacentral:rRNA from 1 species
UACAGAGGGGGCGAGCGUUGUUCGGAAUUACUGGGCGUAAAGGGCGCGUAGGCGGCCUUCUAAGUCGAACGUGAAAUCCCCCGGGCUCAACCCGGGAACUGCGUCCGAUACUGGGAGGCUUGAAUCCGGGAGAGGGAUGUGGAAUUCCAGGUGUAGCGGUGAAAUGCGUAGAUAUCUGGAGGAACACCGGUGGCGAAGGCGGGUCUCUGGGCCGUAACUGACGCUGAGGAGCGAAAGCAUGGGGAGCGAACAGG